GUGGCUCAGUUCUCCGCAAGUUCCUCGCGGUUCUGAUCAGAAACUUUUUACUUAACUUACAUCUUGAGACACUGACGUCCCGCCUGCGGGGUUGGAGCCGAUGGAGCGGAGCCAGCUGGGAAGGCGGCAGAUAACCCCCAGGCUUCUCAGAGCAACUUGGGUUUAAUUACUGCAAAUCCGUCCUGGCUGCCAAAUCCGCUCUUUAUUCCUUGUUAUUCACGGGGAACUUGCGGCCCAGGGGCUUUGUUUCAAAUGGAAGUCCACGUGUUGGAUACCACUUAGCGGCUAGGUGGACACAGGUGGGCUGUAGGACUCGGCAUAUUUACUCUCUAAAGGAAUGCACUGGAAACAUGCUGGGCACAGGAGAAAGGGAGGCUGCGUCAGGUUGGGUUUCCAGGAGCCACUGUGAAUAUCCUCUGGGCUCCACUGAUACCCUUUCUCCCGUCUACCCUGAAGCCCUGGCCUGGCACUGCAAGUGGAAUAGACCAGGCAUUCAUUUUCUGGAGACAGGGAUUCACUGUCACCCAGGCUGAAGUGCACUGGUACCAUCAUAGCUCACUGCAGCCUUGAACUUCUGGGCUUAAGUGAUCCUCCUGUUUCUGCUUCCCAAGUAGCUGGGCCUACAGCAUGAUGCUCAGGUCACCCAGCUGGUCUGAGCUCUUACACCGGUGGCUCCGAAGCUGAACCUCAUGAGGAGGUAGAGGGUGGCACAGGCCUGGCUCCG